UACGUAGGGGGCCAGCGUUGUCCGGAUUUAUUGGGCGUAAAGAGCGUGUAGGCGGCCAGACAGGUCCGUUGUGAAAACUCGAGGCUCAACCUCGAGAUGUCGAUGGAAACCGUCUGGCUAGAGUCCGGAAGAGGAGUGUGGAAUUCCUGGUGUAGCGGUGAAAUGCGCAGAUAUCAGGAAGAACACCUAUGGCGAAGGCAGCACUCUGGGACGGUACUGACGCUGAGACGCGAAAGCGUGGGGAGCGAACAGG
rnacentral:rRNA from 1 species